CUAGAUGCUGACAAGCGGCGGACGGGUGAGUAAUGCAUAGGAAUCUGCCCGGUAGUGGGGGAUAACCUGGGGAAACCCAGGCUAAUACCGCAUACGUCCUACGGGAGAAAGGGGGCUCCGGCUCCCGCUAUUGGAUGAGCCUAUGUCGGAUUAGCUAGUUGGUGAGGUAAUGGCUCACCAAGGCGACGAUCCGUAGCUGGUCUGAGAGGAUGAUCAGCCACAUCGGGACUGAGACACGGCCCGAACUCCUACGGGAGGCAGCAGUGGGGAAUAUUGGACAAUGGGCGAAAGCCUGAUCCAGCCAUGCCGCGUGUGUGAAGAAGGCCCUCGGGUUGUAAAGCACUUUCAGUGAGGAAGAACGCCUAGUGGUUAAUACCCAUCAGGAAAGACAUCACUCGCAGAAGAAGCACCGGCUAACUCCGUGCCAGCAGCCGCGGUAAUACGGAGGGUGCAAGCGUUAAUCGGAAUUACUGGGCGUAAAGCGCGCGUAGGUGGCUUGAUAAGCCGGUUGUGAAAGCCCCGGGCUCAACCUGGGAACGGCAUCCGGAACUGUCAAGCUAGAGUGCAGGAGAGGAAGGUAGAAUUCCCGGUGUAGCGGUGAAAUGCGUAGAGAUCGGGAGGAAUACCAGUGGCGAAGGCGGCCAGCUGGACUGACACUGACACUGAGGUGCGAAAGCGUGGGUAGCAAACAGGAUUAGAUACCCUGGUAGUCCACGCCGUAAACGAUGUCGACCAGCCGUUGGGUGCCUAGCGCACUUUGUGGCGAAGUUAACGCGAUAAGUCGACCGCCUGGGGAGUACGGCCGCGAGGUUAAUACUCAAAUGAAUUGACGAUGGCGCGCACAAGCGGUGGAGCAUGUGGUGUAAAUCGAUGCAACGCGAAGAACCUUACCUACUCUUGACAUCC
rnacentral:rRNA from 1 species